GGAUGGGCGGCGACGAUGGCGGGUCGCGCUGGACUGUAACCCCAGAGCCUCCGGGCACAGUGAGUUCGAAUCUCACACCAUCCACCA
rnacentral:tRNA from 1 species